UACAGAGGUCCCAAGCGUUGUUCGGAUUCACUGGGCGUAAAGGGUGCGUAGGUGGUGAGGAAAGUCUGAUGUGAAAUCUCCGAGCUCAACUCGGAAACGGCAUUGGAAACUACCUCGCUGGAGGGUUGGAGGGGGGACUGGAAUACUUGGUGUAGCAGUGAAAUGCGUAGAUAUCAAGUGGAACACCAGUGGCGAAGGCGAGUCCCUGGACAACUCCUGACACUGAGGCACGAAAGCCGGGGGAGCAAACAGG
rnacentral:rRNA from 2 species